rfam:Homo sapiens chromosome 8, GRCh38 reference primary assembly.
GCUGGGCGUGGUGGUGCAUGCCUGUAAUCCCAGCUACUUGGGAGGUUGAGGCAGGAGAAUCACUUGAACCCAGGAGGUGGAGGUUGCAGUGAGCGAGAUCGUGCCACUGCAAUCCAGCCUGGGCCACAGAGUGAGACUCCGUCUCUU